UACGUGAGUGGCAAGCGUUAUCCGGAAUUACUGGGCGUAAAGGGCGUGUAGGUGGUACUAUAAGUCAUUGGUAAAAGCACUAAGCUUAACUUAGAAGAAGCCAAUGAAACUGUAGAACUAGAGUAUAGGAUAGGAAGAUGGAAUUAUUACUGUAGCGGUGGAAUGCGUAGAUAGUAAUAGGAAGGCCAACGACGAAGGCAAUCUUCUGGACUAUACUGACACUGAGGCGCGAAAGCUAGGGGAGCAAACAGG
rnacentral:rRNA from 1 species